AGUCGUAACAAGGUUUCCGUAGGUGAACCUGCGGAAGGAUCAUUGUCGAAACCUGCCCAGCAGAACGACCCGCGAACUUGUUCCAUACCCGAGAGGGGCCACGGCGGCGUGUGCCUCGUGACCCCCUCCCAUCUCGUCGGGGCGAGAGCCCCAGCGCUCGCUCCGGCGGUCGAACAACGAACCCGGCGCGGAUUGCGCCAAGGAAACGGACGAGAGAGCUCGCCCCCGUCGCCCCGGGAACGGAGCGCGCGUCGGGAGCGGUGCGUUCUUUCAUUACACAUAACGACUCUCGGCAACGGAUAUCUCGGCUCUCGCAUCGAUGAAGAACGCAGCGAAAUGCGAUACUUGGUGUGAAUUGCAGAAUCCCGUGAACCAUCGAGUCUUUGAACGCAAGUUGCGCCCUAAGCCUUUAGGCCGAGGGCACGUCUGCCUGGGUGUCACACAUCGUUGCCCCCUCAACCCCAUGCCUCAAACGAGGCACGGGACGUGGUGCGGGCGGAUAUUGGCCUCCCGUGGGACGCUACCUCGCGGUUGGCCCAAACACGAGUCCUCGGCAACGGACGCCGCGACGUUCGGUGGUGGAAAACGCAAGAAACCCUCGAGCUCGCGUCGCGGGUGCGUCGCCGGUACAGGGCUCCCGACCCUGAAGCGUCACGAUAGAGACGCACGCA
rnacentral:rRNA from 1 species